rnacentral:rRNA from 1 species
UGGGAGAGCGGCGGGCUUAAAAUGCAAGUCGAACGAUGAACCCUUUCGGGGUGGAUUAGUGGCGAACGGGUGAGUAACACGUGGGCAAUCUGCCCUUCACUCUGGGACAAGCCCUGGAAACGGGGUCUAAUACCGGAUAUCACUUCUGCUCGCAUGGGGGGGGGUUGAAAGCUCCGGCGGUGAAGGAUGAGCCCGCGGCCUAUCAGCUUGUUGGUGAGGUAGUGGCUCACCAAGGCGACGACGGGUAGCCGGCCUGAAAGGGCGACCGGCCACACUGGGACUGAGACACGGCCCAAACUCCUACGGGAGGCAGCAGUGGGGAAUAUUGCACAAUGGGCGGAAGCCUGAUGCAGCGACGCCGCGUGAGGGAUGACGGCCUUCGGGUUGUAAACCUCUUUCAGCAGGGAAAAAGCGCAAGUGACGGUACCUGCAAAAAAAGCGCCGGCUAACUACGUGCCAGCAGCCGCGGUAAUACGUAGGGCGCAAGCGUUGUCCGGAAUUAUUGGGCGUAAAGAGCUCGUAGGCGGCUUGUCACGUCGGGUGUGAAAGCCCGGGGCUUAACCCCGGGUCUGCAUUCGAUACGGGCUGGCUGGAGUGUGGUAGGGGAGAUCGGAAUUCCUGGUGUAGCGGUGAAAUGCGCAAAUAUCAGGAGGAACACCGGUGGCGAAGGCGGAUCUCUGGGCCAUUACUGACGCUGAGGAGCGAAAGCGUGGGGAGCGAACAGGAUUAGAUACCCUGGUAGUCCACGCCGUAAACGGUGGGAACUAGGUGUUGGCGACAUUCCACGUCGUCGGUGCCGCAGCUAACGCAUUAAGUUCCCCGCCUGGGGAGUACGGCCGCAAGGCUAAAACUCAAAGGAAUUGACGGGGGCCCGCACAAGCAGCGGAGCAUGUGGCUUAAUUCGACGCAACGCGAAGAACCUUACCAAGGCUUGACAUACACCGGAAACGGCCAGAGAUGGUCGCCCCCUUGUGUCGGUGUACAGUGGUGCAUGCUGUCGUCAGCUCGUGUCGUGAGAUGUGGGUUAAGUCCCGCACGAGCGCAACCCUUGUUCUGUGUGCAGCAUGCUUUUGGGGGUUGAUGGACACUCAAAGAAAACCGCGGGUUCAAUCUCAGA